UACGGGGGGGGCAAGCGUUGUUCGGAAUUACUGGGCGUAAAGGGCUCGUAGGCGGCCAACUAAGUCAGACGUGAAAUCCCUCGGCUUAACCGGGGAACUGCAUCUGAUACUGGAUGGCUUGAGUUCGGGAGAGGGAUGCGGAAUUCCAGGUGUAGCGGUGAAAUGCGUAGAUAUUCGCAAGAACACCAGUGGCGAAGGCGGCUCACUGGUCCGGUACUGACGCUGAGGUGCGAAAGCGUGGGGAGCAAACAGG
rnacentral:rRNA from 1 species